rnacentral:tRNA from 1 species
GGUUCCAUAGUGUAGUGGUUAGCAUGUCUGCUUUACACACAGAAGGUCCUGGGUUCGCACCCCAGGUGGAGCCA